rnacentral:rRNA from 1 species
AUUGAACGCUGGCGGCAUGCUUUACACAUGCAAGUCGAACGGUAACAGGCCGCAAGGUGCUGACGAGUGGCGAACGGGUGAGUAAUGCAUCGGAACGUGCCCAGUCGUGGGGGAUAACGCAGCGAAAGCUGUGCUAAAACCGCAUACGCGCUAUGGAUGAAAUAGGGGGACCGUAAGGCCUCGCGCGAUUGGAGCGGACGAUGGCAGAUUAGGUAGUUGGUGGGGUAGAGGCUCACCAAGGCAACGAUCUGUAGCUGGUCUGAGAGGACGACCAGCCACACUGGGACGGAGACACGGCCCAGACUCCUACGGGAGGCGGCAGUGGGGAAUUUUGGACAAUGGGCGCAAGCCUGAUCCAGCAAUGCCGCGUGCAGGAAGAAGGCCUUCGGGUUGUAAACUGCUUUUGUACGGAACGAAAAGGUUUGGGUUAAUACCCUGGGCCGAUGACGGUACCGUAAGAAUAAGCACCGGCUAACUACGUGCCAGCAGCCGCCGUAA